rfam:TPA: Bos taurus chromosome 2, whole genome shotgun sequence.
UCCCUGAUAGCUCAGUUGGUAAAGAAUCUGCCUGCAGUGCAGGAGACCCUGGUUUGAUUCCUGGGUUGGGAA